UUGACCUCAAAUCAGGUAGGACUACCCGCUGAACUUAAGCAUAUCAAUAAGCGGAGGAAAAGAAACUAACAAGGAUUCCCCUAGUAACUGCGAGUGAAGCGGGAAAAGCUCAAAUUUAAAAUCUGGUAGUCUUUGGCUGCCCGAGUUGUAAUCUAGAGAAGCAUUAUCUGCGCUGGACUGUGUAUAAGUGUCCUGGAAUAGACCAUCAUAGAGGGUGACAAUCCCGUCUUUGACACAGACUCCCAGUGCUUUGUGAUGUGCUCUCAAAGAGUCGAGUUGUUUGGGAAUGCAGCUCUAAAUGGGUGGUAAGUUCCAUCUAAAGCUAAAUAUUGGCGAGAGACCGAUAGCGAACAAGUACCGUGAGGGAAAGAUGAAAAGAACUUUGUAAAGAGAGUUAAACAGUACGUGAAAUUGCUGAAAGGGAAACGCUUGAAGUCAGUCGCGUUGGCUGGGGAUCAACCAUUGCUUUUGCUUGGCUUACUUCCCAGUUGACGGGUCAGCAUCAGUUUUGACCAGUGGAUAAAGGCUAGGGGAAUGUGGCACCUCCGGGUGUGUUAUAGCCCUUGGUCAUAUACAUUGAUUGGGACUGAGGAACUCAGCACUUUAAGUGCUUAGGAUGCUGGCAUAAUGGCUUUAAGCGACCCGUCUUGAAACACGGACCAAGGAGUCUAACAUGCCCGCAAGUGUUUGGGUGGAAAACCCA
rnacentral:rRNA from 1 species